rnacentral:tRNA from 2 species
GAUGGGGUCAGCUAAUUAAGCUUUCGGGCCCAUACCCCGAGUAUGACGGUUAAAGUCCCUCCUCCAUCA